CCCAAACCAAUAAAGUUUUCUUUAUUGGGGUUGCGGACAUAUCAUAACGAAGAGGUAUCGUAAUUGAAGAGGUUUGGAAAGACCCACCACAGAAGGUAAUAGUCCUGUAUGUUAAACGAGAAGACUUCAGAUAUGAUCCAGAGUACCACGGGACACGUGAAACCCUGUGGGAAGCAGGAGGGACCACCCUCCAAGGCUAAAUACUACCUAGUGACCGAUAGCGUAUAGUACCGUGAGGGAAAGGUGAAAAGAACC
rnacentral:rRNA from 1 species